rnacentral:siRNA from 1 species
UCAGUCGACGGAACCCUAAUUUC